UACGGAGGGGGCUAGCGUUGUUCGGAAUUACUGGGCGUAAAGCGCGCGCAGGCGGCGAUCUACGUCUGGGGUGAAAGCCCGGAGCUCAACUCCGGGACUGCCUUGGAUACGGGAUCGCUUGAGGAUUGGAGAGGCAAGGGGAAUUCCACGUGUAGCGGUGAAAUGCGUAGAUAUCAAGUGGAACACCAGUGGCGAAGGCGAGUCCCUGGACAACACCUGACACUGAGGCACGAAAGCUAGGGGAGCAAACAGG
rnacentral:rRNA from 1 species